rnacentral:rRNA from 1 species
AGCGAACGCUGGCGGCAGGCCUAACACAUGCAAGUCGAACGAACCUUUCGGGGUUAGUGGCGGACGGGUGUGUAACACGUCGGAACGUGCCUAUAGGUUCGGAAUAACUCAGGGAAACUUGUGCUAAUACCGAAUGUGCCCUUCUGGGGAACGAUUAAUAGUAUUUAGAGGGUCCCGCGUCUGAUUAGCUAGUUGUUUAAGGUAAUGGUUCACCAGGGCGACGAUAGGUAGCUGGUAUGUGAGGAUGUUCAGAGACCUUGGCACGGGGACACGGCCGAAACUCCUACGGGAUGCAGCAAUGCGGGAUCUUGCGAAAUGGGCUAAAGCAUGACGCUGCUAUGACGGGUGAAUGAUGAAAGUCGUAGGGUUGUAAAAUUCUUUCAACUGUGACCGUAAUGACGGUACCCGGAGAAAAAGCCCCGGCUAACUUCGUG